rnacentral:rRNA from 1 species
UACGAAGGGGGCUAGCGUUGCUCGGAAUCACUGGGCGUAAAGCGCACGUAGGCCGAUUGUUAAGUCAGGGGUGAAAUCCUGGAGCUCAACUCCAGAACUGCCCUUGAUACUGACGGUCUCGAGUCCGGGAGAGGUGAGUGGAAUUCCCAGUGUAGAGGUGAAAUUCGUAGAUAUUGGGAAGAACACCAGUGGCGAAGGCGGCUCACUGGCCCGUAACUGACGCUGAGGUGCGAAAGCGUGGGGAGCAAACAGG